rnacentral:rRNA from 1 species
CCAGACUCCUACGGGAGGCAGCAGUGGGGAAUAUUGGGCAAUGGGCGCAAGCCUGGCCCAGCAACGCCGCGUGAAGGAAGAAGGCUUUCGGGUUGUAAACUUCUUUUAUUCGGGACGAAGAAAGUGACGGUACCGAAUGAAUAAGCCACGGCUAACUACGUGCCAGCAGCCGCGGUAAUACGUAGGUGGCAAGCGUUAUCCGGAUUUAUUGGGUGUAAAGGGCGUGUAGGCGGGAAUGCAAGUCAGAUGUGAAAACUCAGGGCUCAACCCUGAGCCUGUAUUUGAAACUGUAUUUCUUGAGUGCUGGAGAGGCAAUCGGAAUUCCGUGUGUAGCGGUGAAAUGCGUAGAUAUUAGGAGGAACACCAGUGGCGAAGGCGGCUUACUGGACUGUAACUGACGUUGAGGCUCGAAAGCGUGGGGAGCAAACAGGAUUAGAUACCCCCGUAU